UACGUAGGGUGCAAGCGUUAAUCGGAAUUACUGGGCGUAAAGCGUGCGCAGGCGGUUAUAUAAGACAGUUGUGAAAUCCCCGGGCUCAACCUGGGAACUGCAUCUGUGACUGUAUAGCUAGAGUACGGUAGAGGGGGAUGGAAUUCCGCGUGUAGCAGUGAAAUGCGUAGAUAUGCGGAGGAACACCGAUGGCGAAGGCAAUCCCCUGGACCUGUACUGACGCUCAUGCACGAAAGCGUGG
rnacentral:rRNA from 1 species